CAUUUGCCGAUGACAAAGAAAGUAAUUGCAAGAUUGGCUGAAAAGAGAGGGAAAGUCCUGGGCUGUAAACUUUCCUGCAGGGAUCUGUAAUGAAAAACACUUUAGAGGCUUUUUUCUGAAAGGCGCCGCAUGCGCUUAUUAGGAAGGAACGGAACCGGCCGUUACCCGGAAUGAGAGGGUGCCGUCUUUUUGGCAUCAACUAGGGUGGAACCGCGGAAGCUGAUAUUAAAAGCUCUCGUCCCUUGC
rnacentral:ncRNA from 1 species